rnacentral:lncRNA from 1 species
GACAAUCUUGCAAGAUACGCGUAACCUGGAGGGCUAAUCAGGAAAUUAUCCAAAACUUUCAAACACUGCGUUUUAAAGGGAUUAAAACAAUAAAAUUGAAAACAAACGGGGCAAAUUCGGAAAAUAAAAGAACCAAAUUAAAACAAUGAAACAAAUCGGAGGACCAACGGCAAAAUAUUCCUUCCUAGACCAAAACGCGCAGAUCUGGCCGUGCUUGGGUCGGAUCAUCGGGUCAAUGGCCUAUACAGCGCCGUUUUAGAGCCAUUAAGAUUAGCUUAUACAGCGUCGUUCCAAGAUUGAUAGAAACACAAAACUAAAACAAAUUUAGGCCUUGCGAAACCACUGAAACCCUAACCCCCUUCACCUUUCUCAAAUUUUGCCGAUUUUUUAGUCUUGAAACCCUUGCCAAACUCCGAUCUCGGCGAAGCAAACAAGGAUUUCGCGGUGAAACACGAAGGUAACCCCUCUUCUUUCCUCUUUUUUGUAUAGAAAAUAGAAAGAAUCAAAGAAAACAGUAGAGAAACGCAGAGAAAAAUAAACAUAAAAAAUAACAAAUGGUGAAUCACCUCUUUUUUUUUUGAACUGUUUAUCGUUCUCUUUUUCUUUAUUUUUUUUUCAAAAUCGGAUCCCCUUUUACAGUGUUGGAAUCGGUCUUAUAUAACCGAAUCCAAGAAAAUAAAAUAAAAAUAAUAAAAAUCCCCCCCAAAUCUCUUCUGCUCCCCUUAUUUAUUUUCUUUCCUUGCCCUUUGUUUUCUCCCAUUGUUACCCUCUUUUUGCUGUAAUUUCGUUGCCCAUUUGUUGUUAGCCUAUUUUGUCCUUUUGUCUGCUUGUUGUUUGUUUGCGACGUUCCAGGUACAUGGGGCUGAUGUGGCUGUGUUCGUGGCGGAUAUGGAGGGUAUGAAGGCGCACGUAAGAGCAGAGGCCUGGCACGCGCAGACGAGAGAAGCUGUUGCGGCGUUGGGGUUUGCCCUAGGGUUUCCUGCUUCUGAUUUUACGUUGGGCCGCUCCGUGAUUGGGCUAGGGUCUAGGCAAAUUGGGUUUAAAUUUUAAUGGGCUUUAGUGGGUAGCACUUAAGCAUUUGGGCCACUGUAUUUGAUUUUGGACUGUAUUAAUUAUUAUUAUUUUGUUAUUUAUACAAGCCCAGGUAAAUUGGG